AUUGAACGCUGGCGGUAUGCUUAAGACAUGCAAGUCGUGCGGUAGAAGGCUUCGGCCUUUGAGAGCGGCGGACGGGUGAGUAACACGUGGGAAUCUGCCUAUUAGUGGGGGACAGCCCAGCGAAAGCUGGAUUAAUACCGCAUACGCCCUACGGGGGAAAGCAGCAAUGCGCUAAUAGAUGAGCCCGCGUAAGAUUAGCUAGUUGGUAAGGUAAAGGCUUACCAAGGCGACGAUCUUUAGCUGGUCUGAGAGGAUGGCCAGCCACAUCGGGACUGAGACACGGCCCGGACUCCUACGGGAGGCAGCAGUCGGGAAUAUUGGACAAUGGGCGCAAGCCUGAUCCAGCAAUACCGCGUGUGUGAAGAAGGCCUGCGGGUUGUAAAGCACUUUCAGUUGGGAAGAUAAUGACGUUACCAACAGAAGAAGCACCGGCUAACUCCGUGCCAGCAGCCGCGUAAACUGUAGUCGU
rnacentral:rRNA from 1 species